GCCUUCAGCCACAACACCCUGACAUUGGCCAAUCUCGUCUGAUCUCGUCAGCUCUCUGGGGUCGGCCCUGGUCAGUAUCUGGGUGGGAGACCGUCUGGGAAUAUCACGUGUCGUAGGCC
rnacentral:rRNA from 1 species